UCCAGCAACAGGAGAACAAACGACAGGUGUGUGUGUGUGUGUGUGUGUGUGUGUGUGUGUGUGUGUGUGUGUGUGUGUGUGUGUGUGUGUGUGUGUGUGUGUGUGUGUGUUAUUGUGUGUUAUCUUGUGCAUGUGUUUGAGAUCAGAAACAAAAACUUAAUAUUCUUCAUUUCCUCUCAUUGCUUUGUGUUUAUUUUACAGGAGCGAGAGGGAGAACUACGUGCCAUGGCACGCAAGAUACGCAUGAAGUAGGCUCUGUGUGUGUGUGUGUGUGUGUGUGUGUGCGUGCGUGCGUGCGUGCGUGCGUGUAUGUCUUUAUUUCCUUGUGUGGACUUUUCACAAGUUUAAAGAGCAUUUUGGGGUUUAAGACUAGGUUUAGAAUUAAACCUAGGUUAUGUUAGUGUUAGUAUAAAGUUUAGGGUUAACAUUUAGUGGUGCUGAUUAGGAUUAGUGUCAGGGGUUAGGAAAUGCAUUAUGUCAGUGAGUGAGAUAUUGAGACAAGACUGUGUGUGUGUGUGUGUGUGUGUGUGUGUGUGUGUGUGUGUGUGUGUAAUUGGACUUUAUAUUGUAUGUUGCAAUUGUCUGACGCUGAGAUUCUGGAUAUAGGGAGCGUGAGCGCCGUGAAAAAGAGAGGGAUGAAUGGGAAAGACAGUACGGCCGGCAGAGCCACUCGCCUUCUCCUUCCAAAUAUGGCCGAGAAUACAACUCAUACAGAAGGAGGUCACGGUCCCGAUCACGGAGUCCGUACUACAGACACUGAGCCGACAGCUGAACAAUAUUAUCUUCCAGUGCGGGAGUUUGUCAUUUCAAACACAUUACUGAAUGAAAUUGUUGUAAGGAGAUACGAGCAGAUUGAUCUUUGAUUAAUGACCAACAACAAAUGUAUACCUGAGCAUGUAUGUUCUCUGGUACUGUUUAUGCAUACACAGUUUAAAACUGAGACCGUGACACCUUAGUUUCAUGAACUACACAGCUGAUUGGUUCAGCCAAGCAGAGUUUGAGCUGCCGUCUUUGCUUAAUCUUGUGAACCUCGCCUUACGAAAUGAAGUUUCUUCUUUUCUGCAUGCUCCCUUUCUUUUCUGAAUCAUCAGUCCUCGUCGGUGGAGACUUUUCUUGAGACAUUUGUAUUUCUUCAAAAAUAUGGUACCAAGCAAUAUCCUAACUAUUAGCUACAUCUUCUUCAUGUUACCAUGUUUUCCAACAUUUAACUUUUCACCAAUAAAAAAUACACUAGGACCAUUUGAAGCAAAUGUCAUGAGCCGAUGUACAGGAUAUUUAUACACAUUAAUUUUAAACCGAUGAAGUCAAAGUUCACGUAUUGUUUAAAAGCUAUCGACUGCUCUUUUUGUACUUUCCCCAGCCAGCUCGUUAAAAACGACUUCUUUUCGUCUUUUCUUCUCGGUAACAUGGACUGUUAAUAAAAAUACAGAAUAAAUAAAAGUGGAAUUACAAACGUUUGAUUUCUUGUCUUCAUCCUUCAUCUUUAAACCU
rnacentral:lncRNA from 1 species